rnacentral:rRNA from 1 species
AUUGAACGCUGGCGGCAUGCUUUACACAUGCAAGUCGGACGGCAGCACAGAGAAGCUUGCUUCUUGGGUGGCGAGUGGCGAACGGGUGAGUAAUAUAUCGGAACGUACCGAGUAAUGGGGGAUAACUAAUCGAAAGAUUAGCUAAUACCGCAUAUUCUCCGAGGAGGAAAGCAGGGGACCUUCGGGCCUUGCGUUAUUCGAGCGGCCGAUAUCUGAUUAGCUAGUUGGUGGGGUAAAGGCCUACCAAGGCGACGAUCAGUAGCGGGUCUGAGAGGAUGAUCCGCCACACUGGGACUGAGACACGGCCCAGACUCCUACGGGAGGCAGCAGUGGGGAAUUUUGGAUAAUGGGCGCAAGCCUGAUCCAGCCAUGCCGCGUGUCUGAAGAAGGCCUUCGGGUUGUAAAGGACUUUUGUCAGGGAAGAAAAGGCUGUUGCUAAUAUCGACAGCUGAUGACGGUACCUGAAGAAUAAGCACCGGCUAACUACGUGCCAGCAGCCGCGGUAAUACGUAGGGUGCAAGCGUUAAUCGGAAUUACUGGGCGUAAAGCGAGCGCAGACGGUUACUUAAGCAGGAUGUGAAAUCCCCGGGCUUAACCUGGGAACUGCGUUCUGAACUGGGUGACUAGAGUGUGUCAGAGGGAGGUAGAAUUCCACGUGUAGCAGUGAAAUGCGUAGAGAUGUGGAGGAAUACCGAUGGCGAAGGCAGCCUCCUGGGAUAACACUGACGUUCAUGCUCGAAAGCGUGGGUAGCAAACAGG